GUGAAGAAACUGAGGAACACAGGAAGCAGUGACUGUCAAAAUCACACAUCUAGAAAUUAUGGAAUGAGAAUUCGGACAAAUGAAAAUGGAGAAGUUUGAGAGGCUGCUCUUUGUCUCUCUUCUGGAGGAUGUUCGUGUAUCUGAGCUGAAGGAGAUGGAGCGUGAAGAAGCUGAAAGAUCUAACAGAGAGGAAAGGCCGGAAGUUUGCAAGGAAGAUGGCUAAUUCAUGCCAAGGGGGUGAAAAAGUCAGACAUCUGGUUGCUGGUUGUAUUUCCUGCUGAAAUUCAG
rnacentral:lncRNA from 1 species